rnacentral:rRNA from 1 species
CCUACGGGUGGCAGCAGUGGGGAAUAUUGCACAAUGGGGGAAACCCUGAUGCAGCGACGCCGCGUGAGUGAAGAAGUAUUUCGGUAUGUAAAGCUCUGUCAGCAGGGAAGAAAAUGACGGUACCUGACCAAGAAGCCCCGGCUAACUACGUUCCAGCAGCCGCGGUAAUACGUAGGGGGCAAGCGUUAUCCGGAUUUACUGGGUGUAACGGGAGCGUAGACGGCAGGGCAAGUCUGGAGUGAAAGGCGGGGGCCCAACCCCCGGACUGCUCUGGAAACUGCCAGGCUGGAGUGCAGGAGAGGUAAGUGGAAUUCCUAGUGUAGCGGUGAAAUGCGUAGAUAUUAGGAGGAACACCAGUGGCGAAGGCGGCUUACUGGACUGUAACUGACGUUGAGGCUCGAAAGCGUGGGGAGCAAACAGGAUUAGAUACCCCAGUAGUC